rnacentral:snoRNA from 1 species
AAAGAGAUAUGAACUUGGAGAAGUCUAGAGCCAGCUUGCCUCUGCAGGCUCAAGAUCACCCUUCC